UCCGUAGGGGGCAAUCGUUGUCCGGAAUCAUUGGGCGUAAAGGGCGCGUAGGCGGGCUUGCAAGUCUGAUGUGAAAGUGCGGAGCUUAACUCCGUAAAGCAUUGGAAACUGUGAGUCUUGAGGACAGGAGAGGAAAGUGGAAUUCCUAGUGUAGCGGUGAAAUGCGUAGAUAUUAGGAGGAACACCAGUGGCGAAGGCGACUUUCUGGACUGUAACUGACGCUGAGGCGCGAAAGCGUGGGGAUAAAACAGG
rnacentral:rRNA from 1 species